CCUACGGGAGGCAGCAGUGGGGAAUUUUGGACAAUGGGCGAAAGCCUGAUCCAGCAAUGCCGCGUGCAGGAAGAAGGCCUUCGGGUUGUAAACUGCUUUUGUACGGAACGAAACGGUUCGCUUUAAUACAGUGGGCUAAUGACGGUACCGUAAGAAUAAGCACCGGCUAACUACGUGCCAGCAGCCGCGGUAAUACGUAGGGUGCGAGCGUUAAUCGGAAUUACUGGGCGUAAAGCGUGCGCAGGCGGUUAUAUAAGACAGUUGUGAAAUCCCCGGGCUCAACCUGGGAAUUGCAUCUGUGACUGUAUAGCUAGAGUACGGUAGAGGGGGAUGGAAUUCCGCGUGUAGCAGUGAAAUGCGUAGAUAUGCGGAGGAACACCGAUGGCGAAGGCAAUCCCCUGGACCUGUACUGACGCUCAUGCACGAAAGCGUGGGGAGCAAACAGGAUUAGAUACCCUGGUAGUCCACGCCCUAAACGAUGUCAACUGGUUGUUGGGUGCAUUAGUACUCAGUAACGAAGCUAACGCGUGAAGUUGACCGCCUGGGGAGUCGGCCGCAAGGUUGAAACUUAAAUGAAUUGACGGCUGGAGAGNGCGAGACGACGACGAGGGAGGAGG
rnacentral:rRNA from 1 species